UGUGGUCCGUUAGGACAAUACCGUUUCCCGCUCUGCUGCGCUCCUGGGUGCUAGGCGACUUGCUGCUCUGUACCACGACGAUCACAUUCGGCUACUUCUGCCGGCACUCGCGUUGGCAUCGCUGACAAUAUCCUUCGGCGUGCGUUGACGCUCCCGUGCUACGACAACCACACUCGACUAUUUACGACGACUGCGCCCGGCUAUUUCUGCCAGCGCUCCUGUAAACUUCGAUGACGAUGUCCUGGCGUAUACGUUGACGCUCGCGUGCUACGACGACUACGCUCGGCUACUUCUGCCGGCGCUCGUGUAGGCUUCAAUAACGCUAUCCUGAUGUACACGUUGACACUCGCGUGCUACGACGACUACGUUCGGCUACUUCUGCCGACGCUCGUGUAGGCUUCAAUAACGCUGUCCUGGUGUACACGUUUACGCUCCUCUGCUACGCUGGUGAGGUCCUUUUUAACCACUUUUGCCGCGUAAAGAUCCCGGACCACAGAAGACUGCGUUAGCGACCGCGAUGUUAAAGGUUGAGUUGGUCAGAGGAUAAACUCACUACCAAGCUCACCCUUAACAGACGGCGUUCACAAGUCAGGGUACCAAGACUAGCCAGAGGAUAAACUCAUUGCGUAGUCUGAUGCCAAACGUGCGUACGCUGUCACAGUCCCAUGCAGACUCUCUGAUCUAGGGAUGCUCGAUGAACAUCGAUGUUCGAUGAUCAUCGAUGUUGAAAGCAAAAACAUCGAUGUUUUAAUAUCGAUGUUGCCAUACGAAAAAUAUCGCAACAUCGAUGUUAACGGAAUCAAUCAUCGAUGUCAACUUACGGCCUCACGCACGACACGGACGUCCACCAAACCAAUGCAACUUAGGAAACAAAUUAUGUCUUCUAUGAACGCAGCCACAAAUCAAAUUUUUUAGUUGUGAACUUCACAAACUGAUUUGUGGCUGCGUUCACAAUGUGAACGCGUCAUUCCGGUCGUUCCCUUCAUUCGUUCGUUCUUCGUGAUUCGUCUUGCACAUUUACGCUCACUCCCACUUCUAUUUGUUUGUUAAUAAAAAAUUGUGUUGUGCGUACCUAUGUAUUUAAAUUUACUGAUUUGUUCGUAUUCUACUGGUGUUGUGCAUAUAUAUAUAUAUUACAUGGAAUACAACAAUAUGUUAUAAAUGCAUAUAAAUUAUAAAUGAAUAGAAUUAAAAAUGCCGCCAAAAAGUCGCUUCUGGGAAUUUUUUGAAAAACUUGAAAAUAACGAAGCCAAAUUAAUCUAAAAUUUUUAAAUUGAAUUUCAGCUUUUUAUAUUUUUAUAAGAUAUUUGACAAUCAUAUACUUACUUCCCCAUUAAACUGUGAAAUUUAAUAUUUUAUUUUUAAAGUUGUAAUAACAUUUAUUUAUAAUUUGUACUUCAUGUUUUUAAAGAUAUGAAUAAAUAAAUUCAUUUAAAAUGAAA